rnacentral:rRNA from 1 species
GACAGAGGUGCCGAGCGUUAGGCGGAAUCACUGGGCUUAAAGCGUGUGUAGGCGGAUCUGUAAGUACCUUGUGAAAUCCCACGGCUCAACCGUGGAACUGCUUGGUAUACUGCGGGUCUUGAGCCACCUAGGGGCAAGUGGAACAAACGGUGGAGCGGUGAAAUGCGUAGAUAUCGGGAGGAACACCAGUGGCGAAGGCGAUCAUCUGGGGUUGUUCUGACACUGAGGAGCGAAAGCUAGGGGAGCAAACGGG